GUGGAGGGUCUAAUAUGUUUGAAGAAUUGGUAUAGUGAAAGCAACCAACCAAUUAUUGUCAAGGAAUACAUGGAUGAAGAAGAAUUACUAAAUACUUCUGAACAACUUGAAAAUGAUAUUAUUGCUAGCGAGCAUCCUAAAUGAUAUAUAGCGUUGUUGCAAGUUUGAAAUGGUUUCAUUAGAGAUUAAGAGUUGCAUUUCAUUUGGAGCCAACUUUUGAAGUCACUUUUGUUUUAAUUAUGGAGACUUUAUGAAUUAUUAUGAACUUAGAUUGUGUUAUGGACUUAAAUUAUGGACUUUUUUUUGGAUUGUUAUGAACUUGUAUGGACUUUUUAAGGACCUUUUCUAGAUUGUUACGAAAUUUUCAUGGAUUAUUAUUAUGCCUUGUUAUGGAGUUUAUAAAGAUUGAUAUGAAUUUUUUAAGGACUUUUAUGCAUUGUUAUUAACAGGUAUAAAUUUUUAGUUAUUUUUUUUUUUUUUCUUGUGACAAUAUACUUUGGAAGUUUUGAUUUUUAAGCAACCCAAACCGCCCAAAAAACCGCAUAAAACCGCCCCUUAAAAAACCGCCCAACCCAAACUUUUAUUGGGCAGGUAUGGGUUGUGAUUUUAAAAAACCGCCAAAUAAAAAAACCGCCAAACCGCCCAAAAACCGCCCAACCCAACCCAUGUGCA